UACGGAGGGGGCUAGCGUUGUUCGGAAUUACUGGGCGUAAAGCGCACGUAGGCGGCUUUGUAAGUUAGAGGUGAAAGCCCAGGGCUCAACCCUGGAAUAGCCUUUAAGACUGCAUCGCUUGAACGUCGGAGAGGUGAGUGGAAUUCCGAGUGUAGAGGUGAAAUUCGUAGAUAUUCGGAAGAACACCAGUGGCGAAGGCGGCUCACUGGACGACUGUUGACGCUGAGGUGCGAAAGCGUGGGGAGCAAACAGG
rnacentral:rRNA from 1 species